AUAAACACAAUUAUAUGAUAUUUAUGCAUAGAAAAUGUUAAUUCUUGAUCUUAUACUUCACCUAACUAAUUUUAUGAUAUUUUAGGUUCAUGCUAUUGAUAUUGAACAAAAAGAGGUUGUUGCUAAGAAGACUGCUGCUAGCAAAAAAAACAUACAUCUCAGAGAUGCUUUUGCUACUUAGUUUUAUUUCUUUUUAAGUUAUGAAUUGGUUGUAUAU
rnacentral:lncRNA from 1 species